UACGAAGGGGGCUAGCGUUACUCGGAUUGACUGGGCGUAAAGGGCGCGUAGGCGGUUUGUACAGUCAGACGUGAAAUUCCUGGGCUCAACCUGGGGGCUGCGUUUGAUACGUGCAGACUUGAGUUCGGAAGAGGGUCGUGGAAUUCCCAGUGUAGAGGUGAAAUUCGUAGAUAUUGGGAAGAACACCAGUGGCGAAGGCGGCUCACUGGCCCGUAACUGACGCUCAUGCACGACAGCGUGGGGAUCAAACAGG
rnacentral:rRNA from 1 species